CAUGCAAGUCGAGCGAGAAAGGGGCAACCCCGGUAAAGCGGCGCACGGGUGAGUAACACGUAGGUAAUUUACCACCAGGUGGUGGAUAACCUUCCGAAAGGAGGGCUAAUACAGCAUGAGACCACGGUUUCGAAAGAGACUGAGGUCAAAGCCGGCCUCUUCAUGAAAGCUGGCGCCAGGGGAUGAGCCUGCGGCCCAUCAGCUAGUUGGUAGGGUAACGGCCUACCAAGGCGAAGACGGGUAGCUGGUCUGAGAGGAUGAUCAGCCACACUGGAACUGAGGCACGGUCCAGACUCCUACGGGAGGCAGCAGUGGGGAAUCUUGCGCAAUGGGCGAAAGCCUGACGCAGCGACGCCGCGUGAGUGAUGAAGGCCUUCGGGUUGUAAAGCUCUGUGGAGGGGGACGAAUAAGUGUUGGCUAACAUCCAGCAUGAUGACGGUACCCCUUUAGCAAGCACCGGCUAACUCUGUGCCAGCAGCCGCGGUAAGACAGAGGGUGCAAACGUUGUUCGGAAUUACUGGGCGUAAAGCGCGUGUAGGCUGCCCUGCAAGUCGGAUGUGAAAGCCCUGGGCUCAACCUAGGAAGUGCAUUCGAAACUGCAGGGCUGGAGUCCUGGAGAGGAAGGCGGAAUUCUCGGUGUAGAGGUGAAAUUCGUAGAUAUCGAGAGGAACACCGGUGGCGAAGGCGGCCUUCUGGACAGUGACUGACGCUGAGACGCGAAAGCGUGGGGAGCAAACAGGAUUAGAUACCCUGGUAGUCCACGCCGUAAACGAUGGGUGCUAGGUGUCGCGGGCUUUGACCCCUGCGGUGCCGUAGCUAACGCAUUAAGCACCCCGCCUGGGGAGUACGGCCGCAAGGCUAAAACUCAAAGGAAUUGACGGGGGCCCGCACAAGCGGUGGAGCAUGUGGUUCAAUUCGACGCAACGCGCAGA
rnacentral:rRNA from 1 species